rfam:Lepisosteus oculatus unplaced genomic scaffold TNK7, whole genome shotgun sequence.
UUGGGUUUUCUAAUUUUGUAAUAAAAAUAAAAAAAAAUCUGUUCUUAUCAGUUUAAUAUCUGAUACGUCCCCCAUCGGGGGACAACAUAUUAAAGGGAUUUUUGGAACAGGGAGCUCUCCCUCUCCCUCUCCCUCUGGCCUGACCACAAGGACGAGAAGGGCAAAGGAGAAGAGGAGACAGGAGACUCCAU